rnacentral:rRNA from 1 species
AUGGAAGAUAAUGGGCCCAAGCUUUUAGGAACGCCAAGGAUCCAAUUUCAAGCUUUGGCCUCUUCCACAAAUUCGCCGUUCAAUCAGGAGGUCUACUGGAAAUUGGUCCUAGAGGAGCUCUCCAUGAAGUUUCUACAAGAACCAAAAUCAAUCCUACAAGCAUCAGAUAUAUCAGAGGAAGCAUGGUUCCCAAGUUCAUUGCUUAAUAUUCAUGAAUGUUGUCUACAACCAUGGCAUUCCCAAAACAAGACAACACAAUUAUUCUCUGGAGGGACAAGGGAUCUGAUGAUUAUCCAGUGA